rnacentral:rRNA from 1 species
UACAGAGGUCCCAAGCGUUGUUCGGAUUCAUUGGGCGUAAAGGGUGCGUAGGUGGCGCGCUAAGUCAGGUGUGAAAUUUCGGAGCUCAACUCCGAAACUGCAUUUGAUACUGGCGUGCUUGAGGACUGGAGAGGAGACUGGAAUUCACGGUGUAGCAGUGAAAUGCGUAGAGAUCGUGAGGAACACCAGUGGCGAAGGCGGCUACCUGGACCAACACUGAGACUGAGGUACGAAAGCGUGGGGAUCAAACAGG